rnacentral:tRNA from 1 species
GGAGAGGUACCCAAGUGGCUGAAGGGGACGGUUUGCUAAAUCGUUAGUGGGGCGCGAGUUCCAGCGAGGGUUCGAAUCCCUCUCUCUCCGCCA